GACGAACGCUGGCGGCGUGCUUAACACAUGCAAGUCGAGCGGUAAGGCCCUUUCGGGGGUACGACGAGCGGCGAACGGGUGAGUAACACGUGGGUGACCUGCCCUUAGCUCUGGGAUAAGCCUGGGAAACUGGGUCUAAUACCGGAUAUGACUCCAUGACGCAUGUUGUGGGGUGGAAAGCCUUGUGCGGCUAGGGAUGGGCCCGCGGCCUAUCAGCUUGUUGGUGGGGUGAUGGCCUACCAAGGCGACGACGGGUAGCCGGCCUGAGAGGGCGACCGGCCACACUGGGACUGAGACACGGCCCAGACUCCUACGGGAGGCAGCAGUGGGGAAGUCUUGCGCAAUGGGCGAAAGCCUGACGCAGCGACGCCGCGUGAGGGAUGACGGCCU
rnacentral:rRNA from 1 species